GGUGAUGUAACUCAGUNGAAAGAGUGCUUGCUUAGCAUAGAAGAAGCCCUGGGUUCAAUCCCCAGCACCACAU
rnacentral:tRNA from 1 species